rnacentral:tRNA from 1 species
GCCGCGGUGGCGGAAUUGGUAUACGCGUUGGACUUAAAAUCCAAUGGGAGCAAUCCCGUGAGAGUUCGAGUCUCUCCCGCGGCACCA